rnacentral:rRNA from 1 species
AACGAACGCUGGCGGCAGGCCUAACACAUGCAAGUCGAGCGAGGUAGCAAUACCUAGCGGCGGGCGGGUGAGUAACGCGUGGGAACGAGCCCUUUGCUUCGGAAUAGCCCCGGGAAACUGGGAGUAAUACCGGAUAAGCCCUACGGGGGAAAGAUUUAUCGGCGAAGGAUCGGCCCGCGUUGGAUGAGGUAGCUGGUGGGGUAAUGGCCUACCAAGCCGACGAUCCAUAGCUGGUUUGAGAGGAUGAUUGGCCACACUGGGACUGAGACACGGCCCAGACUCCUACGGGAGGCAGCAGGGGUGAAUCUUAGACAAUGUGCGCAAGCCUGAUCUAGCCAUGCCGCGUGAGCGAUGAAGGCCUUAGGGUUGUAAAGCUCUUUCAGUGGGGAAGAUAAUGACUGUACCCACAGAAGAAGCCCCGGCUAACUCCGUGCCAGCCGCCGCCGUAACAC